CCUGGGGAGUACGGCCGCAAGGUUGAAACUCAAAGGAAUUGGCGGGGAGGCACACAACCAGUGGAACAUGUGGUUUAAUUCGAAACGAACCGAAGAACCUCACCAGGGUUUGACAUGCCGCCGUUUAUUUUGCUAGAAAUAGUGAGAAAUCCGCAAGGAUGGCGGCACAGGUACUGCAUGGCUGUCGAAAGCUCGUUCCGUGAGGAGUACCCUUAAGUGGGACAACGAGCGCAACCCCCGUCCCGUGUUACAUGUAUCACGGGAUACUGUCCCGCCUUUUGGCGGGAAGGAAGGAGGGGUAGACGUCAAGUCAGCAUGGUCCUUAUACCCUGGGCUACACACAUGUUACAAUGGGUAGCACAACGGGUUUGCUAGAUUGCAAGGUUAAGCGAAUCCCUAAAAUCUACUCUCAGUUGGGAUUGAGGUCUGCAACUCGACCUCAUGAACGCGGAAUUGGUAGUAAUCGCGGAUCAGCUAUGCCGCGGUGAAUACGUUCUUGCCUCUUGCACACACCGCCCGUCAAGCCAACAAAGUCGGGAAAAUUUGAACCCCACCUAUGGUGGGGGAGGAUUCUUCCGGCGAUGGGGGUUAAGUCGUAACAAGGUAUCCGUUCUGGAAGGAGCGGAUGGAUCACCUCCUUUCUAA
rnacentral:rRNA from 1 species